rnacentral:misc_RNA from 1 species
GAAAAAAUCAAAUUUCCAAAAAUAAAAACAAUUGCCCUCUAAAAAUUAUAUUUUUGUUGACACUUCCUGACACUUUUCAAAAAAGUUAAAAGUCGGCGAACCCAACUAAACGAAUUUAUCAAUAAUCUAAUAUGUUAUAAUAAAGACAUUUAUAAUUACGAAAUGGAGAAAAUACCGAAGAAAGCUCUAUCAAGAAAAAACCUUUUAAAACUUUUACAAUUCAGAGAAAACCAAGGUGAUAGUUCGCAUUUUCUCAAAAAACAUUGCCAGUUCACCGAGGGUCUCGUGAAACGGAUAGGGCUCGAUUAUGAACUACAGGGCCAUCAAGGGUGUGUUAAUUGUUUGCAAUGGACAUCUGAUGGAAGAUAUUUAGCUUCAGGCUCUGACGAUACAAACGUUAUUAUUUGGGACCCAUUUUACCGUAAACAGAUGCAUGUGGUUUCAACAAAUCACAUAGGAAACAUAUUUUCCGUAAAGUUUUUGGAUACAAAUAACACUAUUAUAGCUACAGCAGCUGGAGAUUGCAGAGUUAUAGUUCAAUCUGUACGAGGUACGAGUAUUUUGGAUUGCCGAUGUCAUACAAACAGAGUGAAAAGACUGGCGACAUCACCGGAAGAGCCGAGUUUGUUUUGGUCGGCUGGUGAAGAUGGAAUGGUAUUACAAUUUGACUUGAGAGAGCAGCACGAAUGUUUGACAAGUCAAGCAAAAGUUUUAAUAAACCUCAAUAAAGUAAAUCACGAAGCAAAAUGUAUUGCUAUUAACCCAACCAAACCACAUUACAUUGCUGUUGGUGCCAAUGAUUGUUAUGUGCGCUUAUAUGAUAGGAGAAUGCUUAAGGCUUAUUCUUUCACAGAGGUGUCGGAAGAUAGUGAACAAAACGACUUAAAACCUCCAACUUUGGAUAAAAAUUGUGUCCAGUACUAUUCUCCGGGGCAUUUGGCUUUUAAUAAUGCCCGUGUGCAUAAUGUUCGCUUCGCCACUACAUAUAUUACUUUCAAUUCGGCCGGUACGGAGAUGCUCGUAAACAUGGGCGGCGAACAGAUAUAUUUGUUUGAUAUUAAUAACGCUAGUCCGAUCAACGAGAUCAGGAAGCCAGUGUUUACAGAAAAAGAGACCAAUUCGAAUAAGUACAAGUGCAGAUGUUGGCCGGAAGGGAAUGGUUACGUCAAAAACAGUAGUUAUACUAACAAACCUGUGAAUACCGGAAAAAAAUGUGCAUGUUUUUAUAUGAGAAGAGCAUAUGAGUGUUAUAGAAGGAAAUGGAUGGGUGACAUUUAUAGUGCUGCCCGAGACUAUCUGCACGUUAUCCGCAAUUGGCCUGACCAAAUCAAAGCUUAUGUGGGGCUUAUCAAAUGUCUUGUUGCUUUAAAAUGGGUGGAUGAUGCUGAGCUAUGGUAUGAUUACCUGUGUAAUAUUAAUCCAGAGUUUAAUGGGACAAAUCAGGCGCGAUUGUUGAGAGAAACUAUACAGACUGUGAAAAAUACUCCAAAAGACGGUUUUGGAGAGAGGGAGAUGUGCGACAUGAAAUCGCACAAGAUUGAAGAGGACGAGGCCGAGAGAAGACUGAACUCCAAAGAUUAUGAUUUGAGGUUUCUCGGUCAUUGCAAUACCACCACCGAUAUUAAGGAAGCUAACUUUUUAGGUGAUGAUGGAAAUUUUAUUUGUGCCGGAUCCGAUGAAGGAAUCAUAUUCAUUUGGGAGCGAAAACAUUCGUCAUUGGUCACUGCUCUAUUCGGCGACGUUUCCAUAGUUAACUGUGUCCAGCCUCAUCCUAACGCAUGCUUUAUAGCAUCUAGCGGGAUAGAUUCCGUUGUAAAGCUGUGGUCUCCGACAUCAGAGCGAUUUCGGUGUUGUUUGGUAGGAUGGCCGUCAAAAUAUCAGGAUUGUCAAAGAAGUGAAUAGUGUGAUUGAGGCCAAUCAGCAUCGGAUGGCGAUGGAUCCCUUUGAAUCCAUGUUAGUCAAUAUGGGUUAUCAAAUACAAGGGGAAGGCAGUUUGCAAGACUUACCAAACUGCAGAACUUGCUAACAAUAGAAUUGUUUUUAUUUUUUUAGAAAUAUAUAACUAGCAUUGUUGCAUUCGAUAUAAUAUUUAUAAAAAUACGUAUUAAUCUAUCAAGUGCAACAAAUAUCGAUUAUUUUUUAUGUAUAUAUAAAUUAAAAAAACAUUUAUUUAUAUUAAUUGGAAUUGUUGUUGCGAGAUUUAGUUGUAACUGUGAUAUAAAAUGUACUUUUCUUUCGAUACUAAAAAAUUUUCGUCUUAAAAAUGAUCCAGCCUUACUCAUAAUUUUUUUGGGGGAAAUCAAAUCGUUUAGAGAUAUAGGAGAGUAUCGAUAUUUUCAGAUAUCGAUAUUUUGAAAAAUAUCGAUAGUUAUCGAUUUUAGUAAAUCCGAUUAGAGCUGUGGGAUACUAUCGAUAUUUUGAGUUAAUCGAUAGUUUUAUCGAUAUUUUUAAAAUAUCGAUAGUUGUCGUUUUUAUACUCUCUAUUGGCUUAUUAAUAAGGCUGGACAUUUCUAAGCUAAAAAGCUCAAUAAGUUUAUUUAGAUGUUCUUUGUUUAAGUAGGAAUAGGACUUACAACUUACAACCAAGGAUACGUAUUCGUAAAACGAAAAUGUGUCAUUUGUUAUUAAAUAACUUUAUAAAUAAAGUCAGAUUUAACGGGUUACAACUGAGUAAUUUUUG